CCUUGUCACAUUCGUAUUCAGUCUUCAUGCCAUGAAUUUCUUGUUUCACCAAGUCAGGAAUUUUUUGGCCACAGUUUUUGUAGCUCCUCUGCCACAGGUCACGGGGGGGCUGGAGCCUAUCCCAGCUGACUACGGGCGAGAGGCGGGGUUCACCCUGGACUGGAUUUUACACAGAGGUGCUUCAUUAUCAUCAAGUCCGCCUUCAGCUGCUGGCUGGAAAAAAAAAUGCCAGGGUGGAAAACGUGAUCUGUACACCAAAAGAUAGGAUGAAAAGUAUCAAAAGUAUAGAAAAAC